UCCAGACUCCUACGGGAGGCAGCAGUGGGGAAUAUUGCACAAUGGGCGAAAGCCUGAUGCAGCAACGCCGCGUGAAGGAAGAAGGCCUUCGGGUCGUAAACUUCUGUCCUUGGGGAAGAAGAACUGACGGUACCCAAGGAGGAAGCCCCGGCUAACUACGUGCCAGCAGCCGCGGUAAUACGUAGGGGGCAAGCGUUGUCCGGAUUGACUGGGCGUAAAGGGAGCGUAGGCGGUUUGGUAAGUCAAAUGUGAAAGCCCGUAGCUUAACUACGGAAUUGCAUUUGAUACUGCUAGACUUGAGUUCAGGAGAGGUAAGUAGAAUUCCUAGUGUAGCGGUGGAAUGCGUAGAUAUUAGGAGGAAUACCAGUGGCGAAGGCGGCUUGCUGGAAUGACACUGACGCUGAGGCUCGAAAGCGUGGGGAGCAAACAGGAUUAGAUACCCCGGUA
rnacentral:rRNA from 1 species